GGAAGCCGGUGAGAUUCCGGCACAGUCGCGCUACUGUGACAUCGCCUCCGACCUCCGACGUGAGGGCAGAGCGGUGGAGUCAGAC
rnacentral:ncRNA from 1 species